rnacentral:rRNA from 1 species
CAGCACCUCAAGUGGUCGGGAUAAUUAUUGGGCUUAAAGUGUCCGUAGCCGGUUUAGUAAGUUCCUGGUAAAAUCGGGUAGCUUAACUAUCUAUAUGCUAGGAAUACUGCUAUACUAGAGGGCGGGAGAGGUCUGAGGUACUACAGGGGUAGGGGUGAAAUCUUAUAAUUCUUGUAGGACCACCAGUGGCGAAGGCGUCAGACUGGAACGCGCCUGACGGUGAGGGACGAAAGCCAGGGGAGCGAACCGGAUUAGAUACCCGAGUAGUCC